rnacentral:rRNA from 1 species
ACAGGUGCUGCAUGGCUUGUCGUCAGCUCGUGUCGUGAGAUGUUGGUUAAGUCCCGCAACGAGCGCAACCCUUAUCCCCAGUUGCCAUCAGGUAAAGCUGGGAACUCUGGGGAGACUGCCGGUGAUAAACCGGAGGAAGGCGGGGAUGACGUCAAGUCCUCAUGGCCCUUACAUCCCGGGCUACACACGUGCUACAAUGGCAGGUACAGAGGGCUGCAAAGCCGCGAGGUAGAGCGAAUCCCAGAAAACCUGUCUCAGUCCGGAUUGAAGUCUGCAACUCGACUUCAUGAAGGCGGAAUCGCUAGUAACCGCGAAUCAGCAGGUCGCGGUGAAUACGUUCCCGGGCCUU